GAAGCUUGCUUCUCUGAUGUUAGCGGCGGACGGGUGAGUAACACGUGGAUAACCUACCUAUAAGACUGGGAUAACUUCGGGAAACCGGAGCUAAUACCGGAUAAUAUUUUGAACCGCAUGGUUCAAAAGUGAAAGACGGUCUUGCUGUCACUUAUAGAUGGAUCCGCGCUGCAUUAGCUAGUUGGUAAGGUAACGGCUUACCAAGGCAACGAUGCAUAGCCGACCUGAGAGGGUGAUCGGCCACACUGGAACUGAGACACGGUCCAGACUCCUACGGGAGGCAGCAGUAGGGAAUCUUCCGCAAUGGGCGAAAGCCUGACGGAGCAACGCCGCGUGAGUGAUGAAGGUCUUCGGAUCGUAAAACUCUGUUAUUAGGGAAGAACACUUGUGUAAGUAACUGUGCACAUCUUGACGGUACCUAAUCAGAAAGCCACGGCUAACUACGUGCCAGCAGCCGCGGUAAUACGUAGGUGGCAAGCGUUAUCCGGAAUUAUUGGGCGUAAAGCGCGCGUAGGCGGUUUUUUAAGUCUGAUGUGAAAGCCCACGGCUCAACCGUGGAGGGUCAUUGGAAACUGGAAAACUUGAGUGCAGAAGAGGAAAGUGGAAUUCCAUGUGUAGCGGUGAAAUGCGCAGAGAUAUGGAGGAACACCAGUGGCGAAGGCGACUUUCUGGUCUGUAACUGACGCUGAUGUGCGAAAGCGUGGGGAUCAAACAGGAUUAGAUACCCUGGUAGUCCACGCCGUAAACGAUGAGUGCUAAGUGUUAGGGGGUUUCCGCCCCUUAGUGCUGCAGCUAACGCAUUAAGCACUCCGCCUGGGGAGUACGACCGCAAGGUUGAAACUCAAGGAAUUGACGGGGACCCGCACAAGCGGUGGAGCAGGUGGUUUAAUUCGAAGCAACGCGAAGAACCUUACCAAAUCUUGACAUCCUUUGACAACUCUAGAGAUAGAGCCUUCCCCUUCGGGGGACAAAGUGACAGGUGGUGCAUGGUUGUCGUCAGCUCGUGUCGUGAGAUGUUGGGUUAAGUCCCGCAACGAGCGCAACCCUUAAGCUUAGUUGCCAUCAUUAAGUUGGGCACUCUAAGUUGACUGCCGGUGACAAACCGGAGGAAGGUGGGGAUGACGUCAAAUCAUCAUGCCCCUUAUGAUUUGGGCUACACACGUGCUACAAUGGACAAUACAAAGGGCAGCGAAACCGCGAGGUCAAGCAAAUCCCAUAAAGUUGUUCUCAGUUCGGAUUGUAGUCUGCAACUCGACUACAUGAAGCUGGAAUCGCUAGUAAUCGUAGAUCAGCAUGCUACGGUGAAUACGUUCCCGGGUCUUGUACACACCGCCCGUCACACCACGAGAGUUUGUAACACCCGAAGCCGGUGGAGUAACCUUUUAGGAGCUAGCCGUCGAAGGUGGGACAAAUGAUUGGGGUGAAGUCGUAACAAGGUAGCCGUAUCGGAAGGUGCGGCUGGAUCACCU
rnacentral:rRNA from 1 species